rnacentral:rRNA from 1 species
GAUGAACGCUGGCGGCGUGCCUAAUACAUGCAAGUCGAGCGAACGGACGAGAAGCUUGCUUCUCUGAUGUUAGCGGCGGACGGGUGAGUAACACGUGGAUAACCUACCUAUAAGACUGGGAUACUUCGGGAAACCGUAGCUAAUACCGGAUAAUAUUUUGAACCGCAUGGUUCAAAAGUGAAAGACGGUCUUGCUGUCACUUAUAGAUGGAUCCGCGCUGCAUUAGCUAGUUGGUAAGGUAACGGCUUACCAAGGCAACGAUGCAUAGCCGACCUGAGAGGGUGAUCGGCCACACUGGAACUGAGACACGGUCCAGACUCCUACGGGAGGCGGCAGUAGGGAAUCUUCCGCAAUGGGCGAAAGCCUGACGGAGCAACGCCGCGUGAGUGAUGAAGGUCUUCGGAUCGUAAAACUCUGUUAUUAGGGAAGAACAUAUGUGUAAGUAACUGUGCACAUCUUGACGGUACCUAAUCAGAAAGCCACGGCUAACUACGUG